GUCGUGUUCCAGUGUUAGGCUUUUCCUGUCUUCAGUGAGUUAUAACAGGUUGUGAUCAAGUAAAAAAAACUAAACCAAACCAAAAUAAAAUAAAAAAUGCAAAACUGUAGAGGCUUCAAAAAUACUUCUUUUUACACGCUUUUGUUGGAUUACCUUUUAAAUGGAUACAUUUAUAUAUUUCCUGAUUAAUCUAAAGUUAAUAACACAGUGACAACAUGUUUUUUGCCCAAUACAAAAAAAAAAAAGUAGAUGGGUUUUCUGUCUUGGAAGAAAACCCAUCUACUGAGUGCCUCUACCACAGGCUGAGACAUCCAGUCAACUUUCAGCAAACCAUGAAUCAAUGAACCAAAGAACAGAGCCCUUACAAUGCUGGAAAAGCUUCAGGGCAAGUCACUGUUGGUUCUUAAGUAGCCAAGCCAAAAUUUUAAUCCAUCAGAACAUCUUUUGAGAGGCACAAAGAAGACACUUCCCAUCCAAUCUGAUGACGCUUGAAGAUGCAGAUUAGCUCAGAUGAAUUGGAUAAACCACCCAAAUUCAGGUUGAAGAGAUUUAACCAAGACAACUCGAAGCUGAAAUUACUAAAAUCAAAGUUUCUGGGUUUUUUGUUUUUAUGCUUUGAGCACAAAAAUACUAAAACAAUGAAAAAGUAAAUCAAUAUAAAAGCAGUUUCUCAUACAUGUAAAUUAAAAUAGAUGAAGUAACACGGGAACGUGGGAUUUAAAGAACAGAACAAAAACAGAACAACAGAAGUAACUAUAUAUGUCUCACAUGUACUUUGAGACUAGAAAGGAUUAGAAAGGAUUUAUUCCAAAUGCUUGGAUGUUGAUUUGUUGCCGUUUUUUUGUUUAGGACAUGUUUUGCUCUCUGGAAAGAAUACUUUAUUUUGAACUUUUUAAGUAAAUAGUAGAAAGUUACAAUGACAAUGCGCCUCCCGAACAUCUAACAGCACAGCUGGACCGUCUCCAACAAGGUCCGCAUGACUACAGUGGAAUAAUGCUUCAAAGGUCAAGGCAGUAGGUCACUUUGGAACAACACAUCCAUCCUGAUAAACACUAUUAAAAUGAUCAAUAUACAAUUUUUUUUUCCUUUAUUGCACAUGUGUCAUGCUAUACCCAUACGAGUCCUAUAAUAAAGAUGGCAUUUUUUCCAAAGGCCAACAAUGGGCUGUGAUUCCAAAAGAUUUCCUUUUCUGUAGGAGUAAGGAAAACGGCCCUCUGUCUGCAUAUCUGUCAACAUUUUGCUACCAAGUUUAUCAGGUCAGUUGCUCAUUUUGGGUCACAUCGUCUAAAACGUUAAGUUUAUUUUGUAUAUUUUGGUCAAUCUGAAUGUCAGAAAGGAGGAUUAUCCAGUAUAUGCUCACUAUGGCUUACUUUGGCUCCACUACAUCUGGUUUCACAAUGCCAAAAUCACUCAUUUUGAGGCUUCAAAACAACUAGCUAUGCCCAUCUUUUAUAGUGUUGAUGGCAUCAGCCAUCUGAAAAAACUGUCUCUUAAUUCAUACUUUGGAAAUGGAAACAAAUAUAUAAAAUCUAGCCAAAAAAAACCUUUUCUAAUGAUAUUAGGAAUCCUUAGCAGACUAGGAUACAUCUAAACUUAUCAAAUGCUAAUAUUUUGAUAUGAGAAGGUGGAAAAUGUCAGUAUUCGUGGUCUUCUGCUUCAAUGAAGUUCAAGUUUGCCAUGUAAAAAACAAAAAACAAACAAACAAACAAACAAACAAACAAACAGACAAACAAAACAAAAAACAGGUGAUGUGGCUCAACAAAAAAUAAUAAUAAACCCCCGCCCACCCCACAAAAAAAAAAACCCUUUAAAUGAAAAAUGUUAAAGUUGGUAGAACACUGAAAAAACAAACAAACAACAACAAAAAAAAAAAAAACCCUUUAAAUGAAAAAUGUUAAAGUUGGUAGAACACUGAAAAAACAAACAAACAACAACAACAAAAAAAAAAACCCUUUAAAUGAAAAAUGUUAAAGUUGGUAGAACACUGAAAAAACAAACAAC
ensembl:lncRNA